GACGGGCUAAAAGCAGCAUAAGCAGAAAUAGUCUUGGCUGUUUGUUUAGCAGAGCUGAUGACUGGGUUUUCUUUCUCGUUUGCAGAGUGAUUCUCUGCGAGUAGUUACCUAGCAGUGCAGGAGCAGCAGGAUUUCUCAGGACUGGAUAAUAAGGGCUUUUGAAGCACAGUGUAGGGUUAUUUUUGUUGCUUUUGAGUUUUGGUUGUUCCCCCCGCCCCGCCUCUGUGCUCAGAGAAGCACCGUUCUCCUACGGCUCCAGUCUCUCCCUGGGUGCCGGGGGUAUUCCUGCCCUGCCAGGGUAUUGAGCAGGGCAAUUUGGUUUCUUCGCUGCCUUUUGUAGCAACAUCUGGGAGGUGCAUUCAGCCGAUGGCGACAAACGAUGCCUGGUGAGCUGCAGUGCUUGGAUCUUGCUAGCGGCACCGUCCUCCCCCAGGGACGGGUCUUUUCCAGCGCUCCGGCUCUCUCAUGCCCCUUCACUGCCACACCUGCCUCCAUCCGGCCGUGGUUAGGAGGAGAGCUGCCACCGGCAGCUGAAGGGGAAGCUGCCAUGCGGUGUGAGCGCAGGGCAGCCGGCUUCUGCGCGUCUGCCUUGCCGGGUGCAGGUGCUGCCGGUCCCCUCCCCAUCUGUCACAUCAUCUCCUUUGUGUUGUGACACUUUCCUGCUUGGAGAAGGAUCAGUCUAACAGCCUGGAAGGAAGCCGGCUGUGCUGGCGGCUGCCUGCGCUGCCCGCUCCUGCUGCUGGCCCUGCCUUUCCUGCCCUCCAUCCCGACAGGAGCUGUCACGAGAGCAGCGGCGGGGGAGACUGUGGAGUUGUACGUUCCCCUCCCGGAGGGGACGUCAUCUGUCUGGGUGAUAUUUGUGACAGCCUAGGGAAGGAGCAGGGAAGCCUUUGACCUUUCACGGGGGUAAGGCGCUGUUUUAAUAGGAGUUGGCAUUACAUCCAAGGCAGUCAAAAGCUUAAUUCUCCAAGCUGGAAGCAGAGCAGGGGGAAGGUGCCGGCUCACGUCCCCACCUGAGCUCGCUGGCUGCCCUGGUCUCCUUGAAGCCUGGCUCAAGCCAUGACAAAAUGCCAGUUUGUCUUGUUGGGAAGCCAAGCCAGAGCGGUUUUCCUUGCCAGAUAACAGCAUGGACCUCGCCACGAUGACAUCUGAAUGCUUCUCCGUUGCAAAUUAGUUGUUUCUAGCAGCCUGGGGAUGGGAAAAAAAAAGUAACAUUGUUUGACUUUUGCUGCCAGGGUUAUUGUUUGUGUGGAAGGGAUGGGCACUGUGUUUGUGUUGCAUCUGGGAGCAUGGCUCUCCCCAAACACAUCCCCGCUUAGUUUUAGUGCGCGUGGACAAAGCUCGGUGGUGGUUCUCAUGGGAGAUUUCCUUGAAUCAGGGCAAAGCUUCCCUGAAGCCUCCCUCGAGCAUUGCUGAGAAACCUCCCUUCAACAGCCAGCGGCUGGAAGAGCAUGGAGGAGCAGGCAAAAGGACAUGUUGCAAUGUGAGACGAGAGUCCUUAAAUCAUUGAGUGGAAAGAGAAGGGGACCCUGGGGCUGUGGCCUUAUUUUUAGCCUUUUCCUAAAGGUUACCUAGCUGAUGCUUUAUGUUUGCCAGCUGGUAGAGCAGAGGAGCCUCCUGAUCGCUUUUGGGGUCCAGGAGGAGCAGGCAGGCGUGUUAAAUACGAAGCUUGCAGCCCUGGAGGUGACAUGGCGUUGGUGGUGGGGGACCAGAGCACGGAGCGAGUGUGAACUCGCUGCCUUUCUCCUGCCAAAAACCCCACAGCUUGGCGACACGGUGGUCUGACACACUGCUUCUGGACAGUCUGGCUGUGCUGGCUCAGCCUUGUUGGGUGCCUGUUGCUGUUUCCAGCCAUUGCAAGGAGGGAGCUUCUUCCCCAUCCUUAGGCAGGUGGGGAAAGUCUUCUCCCACAUAGGGUGGCAGAGGGGAUGGUGGAUCUCCCAGACCUUGUAGGGGACCAUCUUCCAAACUCUGUGGGCUCAGAGUGAGAACACUGUCUGAAAACAGACUCUCCAAGAAAUGCCCUGUUUUGCCCUUUCUCUUGGCCUCAGUUUUAAUUUACUCAUUUGUGAUGGUGGAAGACUUUUGCAGACAGCCUUUUGCGUCCCGUGGGCUGCAGGUUGGCAACUGCUGCACCAAGACAUUGGCAGUGUCUGGUUCCUGCUCCCAAUUUCGACCUGACUGUAGUCACGUUUCAGUUUGCGGAUCUAUGGCACAGUGACUUGCAAAUGCUUGCUCACGUUUGGGGUUUUAUUUUUGCAUGUGUUAUGGUUUUGGUGCGUUGAACUUCCUUCUCAAGCUCAGACAGCAGCAAGGCUGGCCCAAAACUCGGGCUGAAGGAGGGGGACGGGUGUCAGGGAGGCUGUGUUGUGCUGGUGGGACAUCCUGAGCGAAGCGGUUUUGUAACCUGCCUCUCCUGGGAAAAGUGUUGUCGGACCCUUCGUUGAGCUGAAAUUGAGAAGUUUUCUUGGUUUGAAGAGAAGGUGAUGGUCUCUGGCUGGUUUGGAGCCAUUUUCUCUGGACAAGCGCCCGCUUCUCACGGCACACGGGCAUUUACCAGCAGUUUUUGGAGCAGUGGCCAAAGUGGGACCGGUUUGGAGCCUGGUGGACCUUGUCCCCACCGGGGAUGAGAUCUGCUGUGUGCUGCAGCUGGGUUGGAGCAACACGGCUCUCCCAGGGGCCGCAUGGGCUGUGCUUCACCCACGGGGUGACACUGGGCUUGAUCACCCGGAGGGACAAUGCUGAGGGACCCAGAUGAAGUGCUGAAGUGCUGCCAGCUCUGGCUCCAUCCACCUCACUGGGUUUUCACUGGGACAAGCUCUGUCUGUCCAUCUCCUUGGGAUCAAACUCUGAUCCCUUUGCCUCCUCUCCUGAUGGUGUGACCAUAGUGGAUCCCCGUGUCCCUCCCGAGGGACACAGGGGAUGCUCCCCAGGGAGAGGGGCUGCCCUCCCCAGCUCAGAAUGGGGUCUGCAAUUUUUGCUGCUGGCUUCUGCAGCACAUUGGAGCCCCAUCCCUGCUCCCAGCUACAGAGAGAGACGGGACGAGGCUGACAUUUGGAGGAUGGGAAGACGCAGGGGAGCAGGAGCAGGGAGGCGAGUUCCCUGGGAGACGUGGCAUUAGAGGAGGUGACUGGCGCUGGUUGACGGCAAAGCCUCUCCAGGAGGCCAGCUCUUUGCCGUGCUGCCUCACUUAAGGUCACCUUCCCUUCCUUCCUCUCCCUUUUGGAGGAGGGCCCUUUGCUGGAGAGAGCAGGAGCAUCCUUGUUUUUUUAUGGGCAGGGAGAGGGGGACACGGACACUCCUCCGAGGCAGUGCCUCGGCCUCCCGGCUUGCUUGCCAUGCCUGGCUUUUGGCUUCUUCUGCAGGAGUUGCCCAAAUCCCAUAUUCUGGUGUCCUGCUCCUCUCCCAGGUGGGAGAGCGGAGCUGGCAGCAAAGCCACCGAGGGCUGUGAAGGACAAGGGGAGGCAGCUUUUGGUCCAGGUCCCACCGGAGCAGCCGGCCAUGGGUGCCUGGGCUCCCCGAGGUGCUGCCUGGUGGCAAAGGCAGCGUGGCCCUCCCAGCUGGUGGCCUUGGAGGCCACCAACCUGGCACUUGGCAGCACAGGGUGGUUGGUCCCCAUCAUGUUGUGUGCCCCAUUGCAUCAUCGUCCCCAAGCUGAGGGUUUAUUGUCCCCAAGCCCAGCUUUCUGCCAUGCUGUGGCGAAACAUGUCCCCAGUAUGGUGCUUGAUGGUCCCCCAUCGCCUUCAAAUGUGUUGACACGCAUCCUGCGGGAGAGUGAAGGGAUCAUUUCCCCCCCCCGGUAGUGGUGGGCAAGCGCUGGAUGUUAAUUUACUCUCCUCCUCACUGAAUUUCCCCCUCUCCAGCGUCUCUUUGCCGCGUUGGACAUGCUUGCCCCCGGCUCCCUGGUGUCGCGCCUGCGGAGGGAAGCCACGGCGGCUGGAAACGCCUGGCUCCUCAAGCACGAUAAUUGAAUGUGACAGGAACACACUAACUAGGAGACCUCGCUGCCUCCAGCUGAUUUGCAUUGCAAAUAGCAUUUAAAAUUAAAGAGUGAUGAGGGUU